rnacentral:rRNA from 1 species
AUGAACGCUGGCGGCGUGCCUAAUACAUGCAAGUCGAACGCACAGCGAAAGGUGCUUGCACCUUUCAAGUGAGUGGCGAACGGGUGAGUAACACGUGGACAACCUGCCUCAAGGCUGGGGAUAACAUUUGGAAACAGAUGCUAAUACCGAAUGAAACUUAGUGUCGCAUGAUACGAAGUUAAAAGGCGCUUUGGCGUCACCUAGAGAUGGAUCCGCGGUGCAUUAGUUAGUUGGUGGGGUAAAGGCCUACCAAGACAAUGAUGCAUAGCCGAGUUGAGAGACUGAUCGGCCACAUUGGGACUGAGACACGGCCCAAACUCCUACGGGAGGCUGCAGUAGGGAAUCUUCCACAAUGGGCGAAAGCCUGAUGGAGCAACGCCGCGUGUGUGAUGAAGGCUUUCGGGUCGUAAAGCACUGUUGUAUGGGAAGAACAGCUAGAAUAGGGAAUGAUUUUAGUUUGACGGUACCAUACCAGAAAGGGACGGCUAAAUACGUGCCAGCAGCCGCGGUAAUACGUAUGUCCCGAGCGUUAUCCGGAUUUAUUGGGCGUAAAGCGAGCGCAGACGGUUGAUUAAGUCUGAUGUGAAAGCCCGGAGCUCAACUCCGGAAUGGCAUUGGAAACUGGUUAACUUGAGUGCAGUAGAGGUAAGUGGAACUCCAUGUGUAGCGGUGGAAUGCGUAGAUAUAUGGAAGAACACCAGUGGCGAAGGCGGCUUACUGGACUGUAACUGACGUUGAGGCUCGAAAGUGUGGGUAGCAAACAGGAUUAGAUACCCUGGUAGUCCACACCGUAAACGAUGAACACUAGGUGUUAGGAGGUUUCCGCCUCUUAGUGCCGAAGCUAACGCAUUAAGUGUUCCGCCUGGGGAGUACGACCGCAAGGUUGAAACUCAAAGGAAUUGACGGGGACCCGCACAAGCGGUGGAGCAUGUGGUUUAAUUCGAAGCAACGCGAAGAACCUUACCAGGUCUUGACAUCCUUUGAAGCUUUUAGAGAUAGAAGUGUUCUCUUCGGAGACAAAGUGACAGGUGGUGCAUGGUCGUCGUCAGCUCGUGUCGUGAGAUGUUGGGUUAAGUCCCGCAACGAGCGCAACCCUUAUUGUUAGUUGCCAGCAUUCAGAUGGGCACUCUAGCGAGACUGCCGGUGACAAACCGGAGGAAGGCGGGGACGACGUCAGAUCAUCAUGCCCCUUAUGACCUGGGCUACACACGUGCUACAAUGGCGUAUACAACGAGUUGCCAACCCGCGAGGGUGAGCUAAUCUCUUAAAGUACGUCUCAGUUCGGAUUGUAGUCUGCAACUCGACUACAUGAAGUCGGAAUCGCUAGUAAUCGCGGAUCAGCACGCCGCGGUGAAUACGUUCCCGGGUCUUGUACACACCGCCCGUCACACCAUGGGAGUUUGUAAUGCCCAAAGCCGGUGGCCUAACCUUUUAGGAAGGAGCCGUCUAAGGCAGGACAGAUGACUGGGGUG